UUUAAAUCAUUCCAAUCGGAGUUCGGAUGCAAGAGUUAUGAUCGUUGUACCAACGGACGUCGAACGUCAUGGUUUUGGGUGGUCAUUUACAUAGCAGUCCCUUCCAGCUCAAUUUUAGCCUUCAUCCACCCCAAAUUUCUCAAUCUUUAAUGAAUAAAAGUUGUAGAUCUCGUCGAUAUCUUCGAUUUGAUAGGUGACAGGCCCCGUAACUCCUCCCGGAUCAAACGUUAUGGCCAUUUUACCAGAGGACGUCGGAGUAGAAAAUGUCAGAAC
rnacentral:lncRNA from 1 species